AACGAGAAAGUACCUUCGGGUAUGAGUAAAGUGGCGGACGGGUGAGUAACGCGUAGGAAUAUGCCUGGUAGUGGGGGACAACUCGGGGAAACUCGUGCUAAUACCGCAUACGCUCCUUCUCACGAAGGAGGAAAGUGGGGGAUCUUUGGACCUCACGCUAUCAGAGUAGCCUGCGUUGGAUUAGCUUGUUGGUAGGGUAAAGGCCUACCAAGGCGACGAUCCAUAGCUGGUCUGAGAGGACGAUCAGCCACACUGGAACUGAGACACGGUCCAGACUCC
rnacentral:rRNA from 1 species